rnacentral:tmRNA from 1 species
GGGGGCGACCUGGCUUCGACGUGGGUUGCGAAACCUGAAGUGCAUGCCGAGAAUGAGAUCUCUCGUAAAUAAGACUCACUAAACAUAAAUGCAAACGAUGAAAACUUUGCUGGUGGUGCUAUCGCUGCCUAAUCCGCUUCGAUAGUGUUACCUUGUGCGCUGCCAUAAAACCAGCGUCCCGUUGACCGAGCCUGCUUGCCGGUAUCGACUCAGCGGUCAUAGAAGACAAGCUAGUGUCCUGGUCUAUCCCGAAUCAGGAUGCAAAAUUCAGGGAAUCGCUGCCGACCAUCCUGCCUGUCGGAGGGGAAGCAGUUAAAUCAAUAGACAAGGCUACGCAUGUAGAGCUGACGGCAGAGGAUUUGCGGACGCGGGUUCGAUUCCCGCCGCCUCCACCA